rnacentral:rRNA from 1 species
UACGAAGGGGGCGAGCAUUGUUCGGAAUUACUGGGCGUAAAGGGUGCGUAGGCGGAUAUUUAAGUCAGAUGUGAAAGCCCAGGGCUCAACCCUGGAACUGCAUUUGAUACUAUUUAUCUUGAAUAGUGAAGAGGAGAGUAGAAUUCCCAGUGUAGAGGUGAAAUUCGUAGAGAUUGGGAAGAAUACCAGUGGCGUAGGCGACUCUCUGGUCACAUAUUGACGCUGAGGCACGAAAGCGUGGGGAGCAAACAGG